AAGUACAACUUCAAGGGGUAUAGGUUUGGUGUUUAUCGGAGACAAGUUUAUCUGGUCACAUGAGGAACUAACUCACCCUUCUGAAGUCUACCUGCUCCUUUUGUCGCUAUUUUUUUUCCCUGUAGGAGCAGGUAGACUACAGAAGGGCGAGUUUAGUUCCCCAUGUAUCUGACUACAAGUAUCUGCCUUAGAAGCAAACAAUUCCACUCUUCAAUUGAAUUCAAAGGAACAAGAAUUGGAGGCAAGAUCUGGAAACAGAUGGAGCGAAAGGAGAAACAGUAUCUGGAGAAAAAUGUUUCCAACUCAGAAGCUGAAAGUUCUAAUCUUAAAGAGGAUGUAAAGAACACCAUUAGUUUUGUUUCAAAGAACAAAUUUAAUAAUAUUAGAGCUGGCGCAGAUGAGUUGCUGAUGGCUGUAAAAGAGGUUAUCCGCGGGAGUGAUAAAAAAAUAUCAUCAGUAUGAUUCUAUAUGACACGGUAACUGUGUCAAAGCUAAGUGCAUCUUUACCGGAGGAGUCGAGAAGAAAUAGAAAGGAAAGCAGCUUCACAGACGAUCAAGGUGGCGAAAGAUUUAAAUCUGCAGAUGAUUCAAAUUGAGGGCGACAACUUGAAGUUCUUGAAGCUACCCGGAGGGAAGUAAGCAAGUUACGCAAUUACUACACAACUAGGCUGCAUGAAGGCAACACGGUCAAUUUCAUUUUGUGUAUGGGAGGAAUUAACACUUUUUAACUACAAUUCCUGCUCUUGAAAAUAGUAUUACUCGAAGUUUAACGGCGCUAUGUAUGGCUGAAGGUUUGUCUAAGUGUUGAUCCGGUAAUUCCUUUUUGAACUUUCUGAACACUUGUCCGAAGGACAUGAACACCAGAAUCAUCGUACGCAACUUCGGUGACUCCGUGUUUUGUUAUUUAAUAAAAAAAGAUCUUCCCAAA